rnacentral:rRNA from 1 species
AGAAAGGGGCUUCGGCCUGAGUAAUGUGGCGCACGGGUGAGUACACGUAGGUAACCUGGCUCUGAGAUUGGGAUAACUUGUCGAAAGAUGGG